GUAGGGAAUAUUGGGCAAUGGAGGCAACUCUGACCCAGCCAUGCCGCGUGCAGGAUGACGGCCCUCUGGGUUGUAAACUGCUUUUAUACGGGAAGAAAAAAUACUACGUGUAGUAUACUGACGGUACCGUAAGAAUAAGGAUCGGCUAACUCCGUGCCAGCAGCCGCGGUAAUACGGAGGAUCCAAGCGUUGUCCGGAUUUAUUGGGUUUAAAGGGUGCGUAGGCGGAUCUUUAAGUCAGUGGUGAAAGCCUGCAGCUUAACUGUAGAAUUGCCAUUGAAACUGAAGAUCUUGAAUGUGGUUAAAGUAGGCGGAAUGUAUCAUGUAGCGGUGAAAUGCUUAGAUAUGCUACAGAACACCGAUAGCGAAGGCAGCUUGCUGAACCAUUAUUGACGCUGAGGCACGAAAGCGUGGGGAGCGAACAGGAUUAGAAACCCUUGUAGUCC
rnacentral:rRNA from 1 species